CCCAGAAAAGAAGAAGAGAGUAGACGACUGCAACAAGGCGAGGAGGGAGAACAGCGCAGGAGAUACGGACACUUCUCAAUCCCAAAUCGCGAGUCGAUGGGAAACGUCAGCAAUGGAAUAGAUCGCAUUCGCGUUUAUUUUCACAUUUUUCUUGGUUCAACUAAGUUUUAAAGUGGCAACUGUUUUUUAACUUGUGUUAGACAAACUCUCAGCCAUGUCAAGUCUGUAAGAAAGAAUUUAGAUAUUUUAGAAUUUAUUAUCCCCAAAAUCAAUGAAAUUCAUAAAACAAUUCUAUGUGAGUUUAUAUUUUGUGUAUAUUCUGUAUAAUCAAGCUUCGGCGCAAGUUCUGCCGGGAAGACUCAAUCAUACGUCACUUACUACGUAUGACCUAACCAAUCAUUACUCAACCAAUCAUCAUCUAACAUUUGGAGUAUAUAAGAUCGUCACUUACCCUUUAGUCUGUUUGUGUUCUCAGUUGAAGCAGACGACAUUCACGCGCUCUGUUCAGUUGUGAUUUAAGGAUGUUACAGGUGAUGGCUGUGACUACACGGCUAUUUGCUAAAUCACGCUCGAUUUAUUCGGCUGCGAUACGGCUCAUAUUGCCGCUUUUUAAACCAGAUAUUUUUCGGGAUUCAGUGAUUUCUAGUGCAUGGCAGACGUUUCAUUCAACACCAGUGUUGAAAAUCUGUCAAAGCGCAUCUCUGAGUUUAUAUGGAAGAUGCUGCCUAUAUGUAAAAGCGUGCAUAGGACACGAUCACAAGUGGUCUUGCGCAUAGCGCAUGUUUACAUCGGAACCGCUGAGGAGCGCUGGGAAAUGAACCUCCAACUUCAACCGGUGGGUAGAAAUUUCUUCAGUUCUUUGGGGGUUGGCCCAGCUCCAGGGGCAAAUUCUCAACUAUUAUCAGGGGUUGGUUGCGCCCCUGCCUUCAUCUUCAGGCAGGAAGUGAAGGAAUUCUUGACCCUCUAUGGACUAUGAGCUAUGGACAGGGCCUUUGCCAAAUAACUAUUACACACCUUGUCACUGAUCAGUUCUUUAAUAAAUGUUCAUUG